AGCGUGCGCGCGUUGCGGCGCCCCGAGCGGCUGCGCCGUACCUAAUGACACAUCAUAACAUGUCAUUGAACCAGUUAGUCGCAGCAAUGGCCUGUCUCUUCAGGUCAUUUAAAGGAUUUGACGGGUCCCAGCGCUGGUGAAGCCGCUGAUGAGCAGAAGCCUUUUAUAUCUAUAAACAAAUAACAAAUUAUCUAUAAACUACUGGAUAUAUUUGGCUAAGUUUUGCAUGAACCUUGUCGAACGCUUGAUACAACAUAUAUACAAAAAUCAUAACUCUACUACGCGAGAGGCAUGAGCAGCAACUUUUUAAAUUUUUGAACACACCAUAACAUCGUGUAAUACAAUUAUGAGGUGUAUUUUCACCGAUUUAGAAGUGGGCAGUACGGUCAUUAAUUUACAAAAAAAACAUCACGCUAUUUAUUUUAAGACUC